GGGGAUUUAGCUCAGUGGUAGAGCGCUUGCCUAAAAAGCGCAAGGCCCUGGGGUUCGGUCCUCAGCUCCAAAAAAAAAAAAAAAAAAAAAAAAGCAUUUGCUACUCUUGCAAAUACCUGAGUUUUAUUCCCAGAAUCCUUA
rnacentral:tRNA from 1 species